rnacentral:rRNA from 1 species
UACGGAGGAGGCAAGCGUUAUCCGGAAUUAUUGGGCGUAAAGCGUCCGCAGGUGGCGAUUCAAGUCUGCGGUCAAAGACUGGGGCUUAACCCUGGAAAGGCCGUGGAAACUGAAUAGCUAGAGUGCAGUAGGGGUAGAGGGAAUUCCCGGUGUAGCGGUGAAAUGCGUAGAGCUCGGGAAGAACAUCGGUGGCGAAAGCGCUCUGCUAGGCCGUAACUGACACUGAGGGACGAAAGCUAGGGGAGCGAAUGGG